GUGACACCAGCCAUCCAUGCCCAGGAGCUGUUUUAGCCUUGUUAUCUACCUUUGGUCACCCUCUCUCACACACCUUCCAGUCUUCCACUUGAGGCUCCCUGUUGGUCCGGCUCAUUCCCCACAGUGCCAGGUUCGCCGGUAAGUCCCCCCUCCGUUUUAGACACUUUCCCUCUCUCCUCUCUCCAGUCACACCUUAGAACCCUCCAAUUGAGGCCCCUGCCCGCUCCUGCCCAACCCCCGCUCCCCCACUGCAGGGAUCUGUUUUGUGAUUAUUACAACAGGCCCCCGCCAUCCGUCCCCCGUCCACCUAUUACUUAUGUACACAGCUUUCACCACUGUGCUAAGGUUAUAUAGUUUUCUGUUCAUCAUGUCUAAUCAUAAGAAAUCAAUUAGAACUGACAAUCGUUGGCCGUGUAUGUUUGGCCAUUUGUUAAUACUUGACAAACUCAAAGUUUAUAUGAAAAAAUAUGGUCUAAUAUCCGCCUAUUGAUAUCAUUUUUUCGUGUUUAUGUACAUUUGACUACAUUAUUUUUGCUUACUCCCCUUUGUGAUGAUUGAAUUGUUUACCUUGACUGGGAAAAUGAAAGACAUUGUGAGGGAAUGGAGGGAGGGGGCGGAAGGUGGGGUGGAUGUGUGUGUGUGUGUGUGUGUGUGUGUGUGUGUGUGUGUGUGUGUGUGUGUGUGUGUGUGUGUGUGUGUGUGUGUGUGUGUGUGUAUUUAUGUGUUUGUGUUUUUGGGGAGGGGGGGAAUUGGAGGUUUGGAGGGCGGCAUCUAGGAACCACAUAGCUCACGAUCAGCUUACUGUCCUCUGCACAUAUUCACGCUUAACAAACUAUGACAGGUCGGCGGACACAUACCGGAGUGUCCUCUCCUUUCUCUCAGUCCGGUCCCCACUAUGUAAGGGGAUAAGGGAAGAGGGGGAGAGAGAGAAAGAAAGAGCGAUAGAUGGAUAGAUAGAUAGAUAGAUAGAUAGAGAGAGAGAGAGAGAGAGAGAGAGAGAGAGAGAGAGAGAGAGAGAGAGAGAGAGAGAGAGAGAGGGGGGGGCACGGAAGAGAUAGACAGACAGACCGUUGGACUACCUGACGACAUUCCCUCUCUAUCCACCUUUGACCAUCAAGAAUUUAUAUAUAGUGACACCAGCCAUCCAUGUCCAGGAGCUGUUUUAGCCUUGUUAUCUAUCUUUGGUCACCCUCUCUCACACACCUUCCAAUCCUCCACUUGAGGCUCCCUGUCGGUCCGGCUCAUCCCCCACAGUGCCAGGUUCGCCGUCUUCCACUUGAGGCUCCCUGUUGGUCCGGCUCAUCCCCCACAGUGCCAGGUUCGCCGGUAAGUCCCCCCUCCGUUUUAGACACUUUCCCUCUCUCCUCUCUCCAGUCACACCUUAGAACCCUCCAAUUGAGGCCCCUGCCAGCUCCUGCCAAACCCCCCCACCGCAGGGAUCUGUUUUGUGAUUAUUACAACAGGCCCCCGCCAUCCUUCCCCCGUCCACCUAUUACUUAUGUACACAGCUUUCACCACUGUGCUAGGGUUAUAUAGUUUUCUGUUCAUCAUGUCUAAUCAUAAGAAAUCAAUUAGAACUGACAAUCGUUGGCCGUGUAUGUUUGGCCAUUUGUUAAUACUUGACAAACUCAAAGUUUAUAUGAAAAAAUAUGGUCUAAUAUCCGCCUAUUGAUAUCAUUUUUUCAUGUUUAUGUACAUUUGACUACAUUAUUAAUGCUUACUCCCCUUUGUGAUGAUUGAAUUGUUUACCUUGACUGGGAAAAUGAAAGACAUUGUGAGGGAAUGGAGGGAGGGGGCGGAAGGUGGGGUGGAUGUGUGUGUGUGUAUGUGUGUGUAUGUGUGUGUGUG
rnacentral:lncRNA from 1 species